rnacentral:rRNA from 1 species
UACAGAGGUCUCAAGCGUUGUUCGGAUUCAUUGGGCGUAAAGGGUGCGUAGGUGGCGCCGUAAGUCAGGUGUGAAAUUUCGGAGCUCAACUCCGAAACUGCAUUCGAUACUGCGGUGCUUGAGGACUGGAGAGGAGACUGGAAUUCAUGGUGUAGCAGUGGAAAUGCGUAGAGAUCAUGAGGAAGACCAGUGGCGAAGGCGGGUCUCUGGACAGUUCCUGACACUGAGACACGAAGGCCAGGGGAGCAAACGGG